rnacentral:tmRNA from 1 species
GGGGGUGUUUUGGAUUCGACAGGCGAGUCGGAACGGAUAAAAAGCAUAUCGCAGGUUACGUCUGCGUCGCCAACGUAAAAUUAAAAUUAAACGCAAAAACAAAUAAAGCAGUUGCCAAGGCUCCGGCUUUGGCGCUCGCCGCUUAAUCUAAUUUAAGCUGUCGGCGCGUCCCCUCCGGCGAGGACGCCUCCGGCAUCAAAUAAGCCCGGCUACUUUUUCACGAAAAGGAUGUAUCGCGAAAAGGUUUCCUCAUUCUCGGUUCGGAGCAUUCUGCCGACCGUAAGCACCGAGCGACAAAAAAAUAAAUCGGCUAAAUAUGUAGAAAGUAUCCGCUUCGCGCGUUUGAACAGGAGUUCGAUUCUCCUCACCUCCACCA